ensembl:snRNA U5 U5 spliceosomal RNA
UCACUCAUGUUUCUCUUCAUAUCGCAUAAAUCUUUCGCCUUUUACUAAAGAUUUCCGUGGAGAGGAACAACUUGAGUAUAAAACAAUUUUUUGAUGCCCUGCCACGUGCGGGGCU